AUUGAACGCUGGCGGCAGGCCUAACACAUGCAAGUCGAACGAGUGGCGGACGGGUGAGUAAUGUAUGGGAAACUGCCUGAUGGAGGGGGAUAACUACUGGAAACGGUAGCUAAUACCGCAUACGAUCAGAUGUGCCCAGUUGGGUUUAGCUAGUUGGUGGGGUAACGCCUCACCAAGGCGACGAUCCCUAGCUGGUCUGCGAGGAUGACCGGCCACACGGGAACUGAUACACGGUCCAGACUCCUACGGGAGGCAGCAGUGGGGAAUAUUGCACAAUGGGCGCAAGCCUGAUGCAGCCAUGCCGCGUGUAUGAAGAAGGCCUUCGGGUUGUAAAGUACUUUCAGCGGGGAGGCGUUACCCGCAGAAGAAGCACCGGCUAACUCCGUGCCAGCAGCCGCGGUAAUAC
rnacentral:rRNA from 1 species